CGUCGUAAGAUCAAUGAGGCGUGCUUUUAGUACAACAACAACAUUGAAACGAAGGUCUUGUUUCGUCGUGUUUCACUUGGAUUAUCUAUCGAGUCGGCGCUCUUUUGUUUCAUUCCAUCAAAUUGUGUAUAGUGCCG
ensembl:ncRNA F38B6.24 ncRNA